rnacentral:RNase_P_RNA from 1 species
GUGGGAGGAAGCUCACUGUAGAGGUCACAAACUGAGUGCCAGUCACUCGACCAAUCACCUCGGGGAAGGUCUGAGACAAGAGCCAAUGGUUACCCUCGCAGGGCAUCACCUGACUCGGGUGAGCGAGCGAACAGCAAUAAUUGGCCACCUCGUGCCUGUUCUUCCGCAGGAGAAGCCGGGAGGGAGCAGCUUCUCAGCUCCUAUCCGGUGGAUGCGGUGCACGAUACGGCUUGGAAUCACUCGCGGCUGGCGGAUGAGUGCGAUGUGUGAGGUGGAGCACUGCUCCAGAACCCAAUUCAGACUACUCUCCCCCCAC